rnacentral:rRNA from 1 species
GUUUGAUCAUGGCUCAGAUUGAACGCUGGCGGCAGGCCUAACACAUGCAAGUCGAACGGUAACAUUUCUAGCUUGCUAGAAGAUGACGAGUGGCGGACGGGUGAGUAAUGCUUGGGAACUUGCCUUUGCGAGGGGGAUAACAGUUGGAAACGACUGCUAAUACCGCAUAAUGUCUUCGGACCAAACGGGGCUUCGGCUCCGGCGCAAAGAGAGGCCCAAGUGAGAUUAGCUAGUUGGUGAGGUAAAGGCUCACCAAGGCAACGAUCUCUAGCUGUUCUGAGAGGAAGAUCAGCCACACUGGGACUGAGACACGGCCCAGACUCCUACGGGAGGCAGCAGUGGGGAAUAUUGCACAAUGGGGGAAACCCUGAUGCAGCCAUGCCGCGUGUGUGAAGAAGGCCUUCGGGUUGUAAAGCACUUUCAGCGAGGAGGAAAGGGAUGUAGUUAAUAACUGCAUUCUGUGACGUUACUCGCAGAAGAAGCACCGGCUAACUUCGUGCCAGCAGCCGCGGUAAUACGAGGGGUGCAAGCGUUAAUCGGAAUUACUGGGCGUAAAGCGCACGCAGGCGGUUUGUUAAGCUAGAUGUGAAAGCCCCGGGCUCAACCUGG